CAUACUCUUGCUUCCAGUUUCCUCUGUAGGCUUCUUCUUAUUCUUCUUCUUCUCGGUUCCUGCAUUGAGUUCUUUUUGUGAAAAUAUGAGUUUGAUUUCUCAAAAUGUUGGCUCCAAAAACAGAGUUAAGACUAGAGAGAAGGAGACUAAUGAACCUACAUUUAUGGAAGGAAAUAAAGAGAAUGAAGAAGGAACAGAAUCUGAGUUGGUUAAGUUAAGGGCAAAAAAGAGAAAGAAAGAAAAGCAAGAACAAUUGGAAGCUGAUGAAGGAAGGGAAAUGAAAAGGUUGGAAAACUUUUUGUUUGGAUCCCUAUAUUCCCCUAUUGAAUUUGGAAAGAAUGAGGAGGAAAAGGCCUGUGAUGAGGCUGGGGAUGGUUCUGCUUUGUUCUUUGUGGACCGUUCGGCAAAUAGCUUACUGUCUGUUUAUGAAGACGAUAUGGAAUUCACUGAGAGAAGUGAUGUUGAAGAGGAAACCAAACAACAAAAAGCUGUUUGGGUUGAUGAUGAAGAGGAAAAGACCACAGUUAACAUUGCUACGAAUAAUAGAUUAAGGAAACUGAGGAAGGAAGAGGAUGAGAGUUUGAUUUCCGGUCGGGAAUAUGUUGCAAGAUUAAGGGCUCAACAUGCUAAGCUGAAUCGAGGCACUGAGUGGGCCCGACUUGAUUUUCAGUCAAGAAAUUAUAAUGAUGAAUCUUCAGAUGAAGAGAACAGCAUUUUUACAGCACGUGGUUAUGAGUAUGUUGAAGGUUUUGAUGAUAUUCUUCGAACAAAUGAGGACCUUGUAGUGAAGAGCAGAACUAAACUGUUGCCUGGGCUUCUUGAGUACUCAAGACUUGUGGAUGCAAAUGCUCAGGAUCCAUCCAAUGGUCCAAUAAAUUCUGUUCAGUUCCAUCGGAAUGCACAGUUGCUGCUUGCUGCUGGAUUGGAUCGAAGGCUGAGGUUUUUUCAGAUUGAUGGGAAACAUAAUACAAAAAUACAAAGCAUUUUCAUUGAUGAUUGCCCUAUCCGCAAGGCAUCUUUCUUACCUGAUGGUUCACAGGUUAUUAUAGCAGGAAGAAGAAAGUUCUUUUACAAUUUUGAUUUAGUGAAAGCUAAAGUUGAUAAAAUAGGCCCCCUGGUUGGCAGGGAGGAGAAGAGCUUGGAGGUUUUUGAGGUAUCCC
rnacentral:misc_RNA from 1 species